GUCUUCGUGGCUCAGUUGGUUAGAGCGCUGGUCUCAUAGACAUCGAUAUGAUCCAUUCUUAGAAUGGGCGAUCCAGAGGUCGGGAGUUCGAGCCUCCCCGAGGACA